UCAAAGUUAUUUUGGGUAAUUAUUCAUCUUUUUAAAAUCUCAGAUUUUUUGAGCAUGUUUAAAAUUAUUCUUUAAAUUUCUUGUCUUGAGUUUUGUCUAAGUUAUUCUCAUCUGAUAAAAUUUCCAUUUUUUUUUAUUUUGAGGAGAGAAAUUGUCUUGAUUUUUUACAUUGC
rnacentral:miRNA from 14 species